CCUACGGGAGGCAGCAGUGGGGAAUCUUGGACAAUGGGGGCAACCCUGAUCCAGCCAUGCCGCGUGAGUGAUGAAGGCCUUAGGGUCGUAAAGCUCUUUCGCCUGUGAAGAUAAUGACGGUAGCAGGUAAAGAAACCCCGGCUAACUCCGUGCCAGCAGCCGCGGUAAUACGGAGGGGGUUAGCGUUGUUCGGAAUUACUGGGCGUAAAGCGCACGUAGGCGGAUUGGAAAGUAUGGGGUGAAAUCCCAGGGCUCAACCCUGGAACUGCCUCAUAAACUACCAGUCUUGAGUUCGAGAGAGGUGAGUGGAAUUCCAAGUGUAGAGGUGAAAUUCGUAGAUAUUUGGAGGAACACCAGUGGCGAAGGCGGCUCACUGGCUCGAUACUGACGCUGAGGUGCGAAAGUGUGGGGAGCAAACAGGAUUAGAUACCCUCGUUGACCUCACGGUAUCCGAUGAAUUGC
rnacentral:rRNA from 1 species